rnacentral:lncRNA from 1 species
GCGAGGGAGCAAACACAGGCAGCAGUUAGUUAGUUUGCAAGGCAGUGAACAGAUGCAGCGGUUUGCUUGUUGGUGAGGCAGCUAACAGAUUCAGCAGUCUCCUUGUUUGUGAGACAGUGAACAUCCACAGUGGUUACUCAUUCUGCGAGGUAGCGAAGAGAUGCAGCACUUUUUGCUUGUCCACCAGGUGGCAUAGUGGCAUCGCAGAUUGCUUUUUCUCCUGGAAGUGAAUGGAGGCAGCACUUUGCUAACUGGCGACGCAGUGAACACAUGCAGCAGUUUGCUUGUUCACAAGGUAGCAAACAGAUGCAGCGGCUUGUAUGUUCGCGAGGCGGUGAACAGAUAUAGCGGUUUGCUUGUUUGCGAGGCAGCAAACACAUUCAUCUGUCUGCUUGUUUG